rnacentral:rRNA from 1 species
UUAGUAGUCAUACGCUCGUCUCAAAGAUUAAGCCAUGCAUGUGUAAGUGUAAAUAUCAAAGUUUGGAACUGCGAAUGGCUCAUUAUAUCAGUUAUAGUUUAUUUGGUGAAGUGUACUACUUGGAUAACCGUAGUAAUUCUAGGGCUAAUACAUGAGAAAGUCCUCUGGUGAGGUGUGUUUAUUAGAAUGAAAACCAUAUGCUUCGGCAUGAUAGUGAGUAAUAGUAACCUAUCGUAUCGCAUGCUUAAUGUUGCGAUGAGUCUUUCAAGUUUCUGCCCUAUCAGCUUUCGAUGGUAGUAUAUGGGCCUACCAUGGCAGUAACGGGUAACGAAGA